CCUACGGGAGGCAGCAGUGGGGAAUAUUGGGCAAUGGGCGCAAGCCUGACCCAGCAACGCCGCGUGAAGGAAGAAGGCUUUCGGGUUGUAAACUUCUUUUCUGAGGGACGAAGAAAGUGACGGUACCUCAGGAAUAAGCCACGGCUAACUACGUGCAAGCAGCCGCGGUAAUACGGAGGUGGCAAGCGUUAUCCGGAGUUAUUGGGUGGAAAGGGCGUGUAGGCGGGAAAGCAAGUCAGAUGUGAAAACUCAGGGCUCAACCCUGUGCCUGCAUUUGAAACUGUUUUUGUUGAGUGGUGGAGAGGCAAUCGGAAUUCCGUGUGUAGCGGUGAAAUGCGUAGAUAUACGGAGGAACACCAGUGGCGAAGGCGGAUUGCUGGACAGUAACUGACGCUGAGGCGCGAAAGCGUGGGGAGCAAACAGGAUUAGAUACCCGAGUAGUC
rnacentral:rRNA from 1 species